AUUGAACGCUGGCGGCAUGCCUUACACAUGCAAGUCGAACGGCAGCACGGGAGCAAUCCUGGUGGCGAGUGGCGAACGGGUGAGUAAUAUAUCGGAACGUGCCCAGUCGUGGGGAUAACGUAGCGAAAGCUACGCUAAUACCGCAUACGAUCUAUGGAUGAAAGCGGGGGAUCGCAAGACCUCGCGCGAUUGGAGCGGCCGAUAUCAGAUUAGGUAGUUGGUGAGGUAAAGGCUCACCAAGCCGACGAUCUGUAGCUGGUCUGAGAGGACGACCAGCCACACUGGGACUGAGACACGGCCCAGACUCCUACGGGAGGCAGCAGUGGGGAAUUUUUGGACAAUGGGCGCAAGCCUGAUCCAGCCAUUCCGCGUGCAGGAUGAAGGCCCUCGGGUUGUAAACUGCUUUUGUACGGAACGAAAAGGUUUGUCUUAAUACGAUGAGCUCAUGACGGUACCGUAAGAAUAAGC
rnacentral:rRNA from 1 species